UCCGUUUGAUCCUGGCGGAGGUUACUGCUAUCGAGGUUCGACUAAGCCAUGCGAGUCGAAUGUAGCAAUACAUGGCGUACUGCUCAGUAACACGUGGACAACCUACCCUUAGGCCUGGGAUAACCCCGGGAAACUGGGAAUAAUACCGGAUAUCUCGCGAAUGCUGGAAUGCGUCGCGAUAUAAAGCUCCGGCGCCUAAGGAUGGGUCUGCGGCCUAUCAGGGUAGUAGUGGGUGUAAUGUACCUACUAGCCUACGACGGGUACGGGUUGUGAGAGCAAGAGCCCGGAGAUGGAUUCUGAGACACGAAUCCAGGCCCUACGGGGUGCAGCAGGCGCGAAAACUUUACAAUGCCGGCAACGGCGAUAAGGGGACCUCGAGUGCCAGGAUACAAUCCUGGCUGUCGUAAUGCCUAAAAAGCAUUGCAUAGCAAGGGCCGGGCAAGACCGGUGCCAGCCGCCGCGGUAACACCGGCGGCUCGAGUGGUAACCGCUAUUAUUGGGUCUAAGGGGUCUGUAGCCGGCUGACUAAGUCUCUUGGGAAAUCUGGCAGCUUAACUGUCAGGCUUUCAGGAGAUACUGAUCGGCUCGAGACCGGGAGAGGUGAGAGGUACCUCAGGGGUAGGGGUGAAAUCUUGUAAUCCUUGAGGGACCACCAGUGGCGAAGGCGUCUCACCAGAACGGAUCUGACGGCAAGGGACGAAAGCUAGGGGCACGAACCGGAUUAGAUACCCGGGUAGUCCUAGCCGUAAACGAUACUCGCUAGGUGUCGGCCACGGUGCGACCGUGGUCGGUGCCGUAGGGAAGCCGUGAAGCGAGCCACCUGGGAAGUACGGCCGCAAGGCUGAAACUUAAAGGAAUUGGCGGGGGAGCACUACAACGGGUGGAGCUUGCGGUUUAAUUGGAUUCAACGCCGGAAAUCUCACCGGGACCGACAGCGAUAUGAAGGCCAGGCUGAAGACCUUGCCGGAUUAGCUGAGAGGUGGUGCAUGGCCGUCGUCAGUUCGUACUGUGAAGCAUCCUGUUAAGUCAGGCAACGAGCGAGACCCA
rnacentral:rRNA from 1 species